rnacentral:tRNA from 1 species
GCCCUUGUGGUGCAAUGGGAUCACAUCUGACCCCAGAUCGGAUGUUUGUGCGUUCAACUCAACGUCAAGGGCU